GUCUAUGGUUGUGCUACCCUGAACAAGCCCGAUCCCGUCUGAUCUCGGAAGCUAAGCAGGGUCAGGCCUGGUUAGAACUUGGAUGGGAGACCACCUAGGAAGACCAGGUGCUGUAGGUG
rnacentral:rRNA from 1 species